AUUUUAAACUAGGGGAGCCAAUGCGCUGAGAGUAGGUUUCUGAAAUGUUCCUUGACCCUUGACCUGAUGUAGUUAGUACUACCGUAGGGAUGUUUACAAUUUUGUUU
rnacentral:ncRNA from 2 species